CAAGGAUCUUCCACUGCAUCUGUCCUAACUUUCCGAUGUCAUCGUCGGGCGCUUCGCAUGUCUGUAUUCAUUUUAGGAUUCUUCCGAAAUCAGUCACUUGCUGAUUUUUGAUGCAAAUGGAGUGCUUACAUCAAUUGUUUGCUAGUCUACAGCAUACUGUGCUAUGAGAAUCACUGGCCAACGAUGCGAAUCCUUCGAAAAUGACUAACGGAAUUUUAUUUUUAAUAACGAGCAAAAUGCUAGAUAUUACUGCUGUGUAAGCGUGUUGCAGACCGCAGAAGUUUCCUGGUUUCAUCAACGGCGGUUGAAGAGUUAGCAUAUAUAUACAAACAUACAGCAAUAAUUAUAAUAUAAAAAAUUCAUUAUGUUUUAUUAAUUAUGUUAAAAAACCCUAAUCAUUAUUGCACUACGAAUAUCUUA